CUCUUCCUGUUAGGUCAAGAUGAGGGUUGAAGAAUAGUGACCAGAUGUCUCUGAAUGCCUCCAGCAAUUGGGUACUGCUGCUUCCCUGACCCAGAAUAAACCCAAGCCAGGUUUCCAAUAUGUUCUGGUUUGUGAUGGGUGGCUGAUUUGUAAAGCUGUUUGACUCUCUUUCUCUGCUGCUUCAAUAAGCAAGGGAUGUUACCCAGAUGCUUCAGCUCCAGACUUAACAUUCCUUCAAAAGAGGUGGCAGAAGUCACAAUCUUAGGAAACUAGUACAGAUUUUUUCAAAACCUGACCUGGAUGGCUGCAGAGUAAUUGUGUAUGCUACUUCUUCCAUUGCUUAAAGAGAGUUGCUCCCAACCACCAGAUGAUCACCAACAGCUAAUUUAUGGUGAUACCUAUAAAUUAGCCAGUUGAAGAAAGAAUAUCACUCUAGAUUGUGCUAAACCGGGUUUGCUCAACAUGCAAUGUGGUUGAUGCUUGCAUAUAGGUCAUAUUGCCUCAAAUGACAUUUUGCACCUUAAAGAGACAAUGUUCAGCAUGAUCUAGGCAGGGAUAAUUGGGCUUUCUAGUCACACCCCGAUUUACCUACAGAGAUCUAUCUUGCUUUGUACUGUACCUGUGGAGAAAUACAAACCCAGCCCAAGGUCACCAGUGUAUUUUAAUCUAAGGUAUUUCUAGCUUGUCAAACAGACCAACAUGUUUAGGGUACGCCUCAGGACACCUAUUGUUUUUGCCCAUAGGCCACCUGUCUUUCACAGUGUGACUCUCACAAACUUUAACUCAGUGAAGACCACAGAAACUUCCAUAAUGUCUUGUUUCAUUCUCUAGAAUCAAUCUAUUGCCCUCUUUGUUCUGUUCCAUCCUGCUUCAGCCUCAGAGCCACUGAAUCAUUUGUACACUUUGUUUUGUAGCUUCUAACUGUCCCUAAUUUUGAGUAACUGUUGUUUUUCAUUUACCUUGGGGAGCCUCACAUAACUGGGUUUUAGCUUCACUGUAGGUUUAAUCCAAGGCUCACUUAAUGAUGCAAUGUGUCAGUUAGUAACAAUUAAUAAGAAAUGUAAAACUUCCUCUCCUUUCUCCUCUGCAGGUUAGUGGCGAGGCAACUUCCCAUUUCUCAAAACUAUUACAUGCCUUAGACAAAGCACAGGGGAGGAAGCAGAAAGGGGGUUUCUUUGGUUUGUUUUUUCCGUUUAAAGGAAAGAGGAUACCUCUAGAUUGUGCCAAGCAAGAUUUGCCUGAAGUGCAAUGUGGUUGAUCUUUGCAUAUAGCUUAUAUUGCCUCAAAUGACAUAUUGCACCUUAAAGAGACCCUGUUCAGCAUGAUCUAGGUUGGGAUAAUUGGGUUUUCACAUCACACCCUGAUUUACCUACAGAGAUCUGUUUUGCUUUAUACUCUACCUGUAGAGAAAUACAAGCUGAGAUCAAGAUCACCAGUGCAGUUUAAUUCCUCUGGGAAACAACUGGAUAAUGACUUGGUGGGGAGGGAAUUUCUGGGAUAAAUUUUUGUGGAAUGAAGGACUGAAAUGGGAAAACUUAAAAAAUUAUUUGGACUUCAGAAGCAGGAUGUUGUACUUCUGUUCAAGGCACCCUAUAAUAACCUUGUGGGUUUGAAGAUUCUUGUUGAAACAAUUAGUUAAAGUUUAUCUGUACUGUGAACCAAGACAGCCUCCAACCAAAAGAAGGAUAUCAUUUCUAAACUUAAAGCAGAAGGCUGAACAGGGAAAAUGCAAAUAAAUAACAUGAACUCUCAAAACACUACACAGCUAUGCCAAUUAACUCAGCACUUGUUAACACUUGCACUCUUAAUUAACCUUAUAUAUAAUUUCCAAAUAACAUAGUCACAGAUCCGUAUAUACUGUAUUCAAAACAGAAUGGGGAAAGUAAUACUUUUUAUUGUAUUAACUCUCACAGUGCUGACCAAUGGCUAGAUAUGUUGUCACAUGACCAGCUAGGAGCUUCCAUUCUGUUCAUUUAAGAACUCCACAGCAGGGAGAAGACCCAUGGACUUUGCUUCCCUUGCAGUAGAGCUAUCUGGUCCCAAACACUUUGCUGCCUGAAAUGAAAGAUGGUACAUCCCUGUUCCAUCCCUGUUCCCUGCUUGUUGAGCAUUGGUGAUGGGACAUCCUUCAACUCAUCUGAGGACUGACACUACCUUAGUGUGUAAGCAAGAGCUCUGACCUCCAUAGGACCAUCUCACUCUGUAAUGGCAGGGCUAGAUCUGGAAAGACCUAAUAGUUUGGCUUUCUUUUCUAAUGGAUUAAAAAAUAUUCCAAAAUACAGAAUCUCCUUCCCAUUUAUACGU